UACGGAGGGUGCAAGCGUUGCUCGGAAUUAUUGGGCGUAAAGGGUAGGUAGGUGGUCUCAUUUGUCUGGGGUGAAAGCCUUGAGCUUAACUCAAGAAGUGCCUCAGAAACGGUGAGACUAGAGUCCUAGAGAGGGUCGUGGAAUUCCCGGUGUAGCGGUGAAAUGCGUAGAGAUCGGGAGGAACACCAAUAGCGAAGGCAGCUCGCUGGGACGUUACUGACACUGAGGCGCGAAAGCGUGGGGAGCGAACAGG
rnacentral:rRNA from 1 species